rnacentral:lncRNA from 1 species
CUAAACCUUUAAAAACAAAUGUAACCUUUACUUUUAUUAAAUCUGUUCAAAGACAAACUUAUGAUCAAACUUUGUGUGUCUAUGUGUGUGUGUACCUUUUAAAAAGGUACUGCACCAGUAUCAGCUUUUGUACCUUUUUUUAUGAGCGUGAACCGUUUUAACUUUAAGGCCAUUUAGGGGAAACACUGUGGUUUGCUAUUCUCAAAAUUUACAGGUGCUUAUGUUAUGGUUGUUGCAAGCGGAUCUUAAAAUAAACGAUGCAGUAAGCAAAGGUAUCGGCUACAUACAGCCUCAGAGCAGGGGAAAACCUGCUGCUUUGACCAGAACAUAAUCUUGAUUUCAGUCAAAUAAAUUUGCAUGUUUGAUGCAAUAAUGAACAUAAUUGAGUGUAUAUAAUAACAUGCAUUUUUGUCAAUAACUUUAGCAAAAUAUGCAAAUUAAGGCAGAGAUUUGUUAGCAGUUUUCCAACAAUAUACCUAAUUAAUUACUUUCUAAGUAAGUUGGACAAGAAUCAUUUUUGGCAUAUACUCACUGUAUAUUUUUAUAACAGUCUCAUGCAUGUAAUAAUCUGAGGUGAUCUCACUUUGACUUUGCUACAGGAUGUGGUAAAAAUGGAAACCUGUUGCUUAAACUGAAGUAAGUAGGUAGCCCAGCAUUUGACUCUACAACCUCAAAACACUUCAAUGCAAAAGAAAAUCUAUCUACCCUCAGCAUUAAAUGUUAUCAAAUGCAUCACAAAGCACAUUUUUCACUGUUUGGUCACAGCUGCAUCACUGAUCUGGCAGUAGAAAAUCAUAUGUCAGUCAUAAGUGACGAUUCACUGAUGCUGUGAAAUUGCAGCCCCAGACCACCGCAUGUAAGAGUCUGUGUGUGUGUGUUUACAGGAAAUAUCAUGUGAAGGACAUCAGCCUACACAUUCUCUGUCUUGGUCUUGCAACUUUGAGACCUUGGAUGUCAUGCAUCAUGUACAUUUCACAUCUUUGGAUAUUUUUUGGUGCUUUGGUGUCUUCAAAUGCUCAGAACCACGGGAAUAAAAGAUGCACAGAGGUCACCUUGAACGCUUCUCUGAAUUCUGAAGUCUUUCUCCCAUGUCACUUUAAUAUAAGCCAUUGCAAUGAAACCGAGGGAGUGAAUUGGAGCUCCUACUCUUCCAAUCUUGUAACGAUCAUGAUUAAUGGCAGAAUGUUCUUUGGCAGUCCUAGUGAAGGACGAGUGAAUGUUUUUCCGCUUCUGUCUAAACAUGGAAACUUCUCCAUCCUCAUCCAUGAUCUGCAGUCUUCAGACAUUGGCACCUACUUAUGUAAGCUCAAAAGUGAAUGCUGAGGGUGAAAAUCAGUGAACGUCCGCACAGUGAGAUUCAGAGAAAUCAAUGAGACAAACCCCUGGUUCUACUUUGCAGCUGGAGCUGGAUUGUUUAUUCUCCUUUUUAUUGCAUUCAGCCUGUUAUCAAAAUUCUAUG